AUUGAACGCUGGCGGCAUGCCUUACACAUGCAAGUCGAACGGCAGCACGGGUGCUUGCACCUGGUGGCGAGUGGCGAACGGGUGAGUAAUACAUCGGUACAUGUCCUGUAGUGGGGGAUAGCCCGGCGAAAGCCGGAUUAAUACCGCAUACGAUCUACGGAUGAAAGCGGGGGGCCUUCGGACUUGGCGCUGUAGGGUUGGCCGAUGGCGGAUUAGCUCGUUGGGGGGGUAGAGGCUUACCAAGGCGACGAGGGGUAGCCGGCCUGAGAGGGUGACCGGCCACAUUGGGACUGCGAUACGGCCCAGACUCCGACGGGAGGCAGCAGGGGGGAAUAUUGCACAAUGGGCGGGAGCCUGAUGCAGCAACGCCGCGUGUGGGAUGACGGCCUUCGGGUUGUAAACCGCUUUCGCCUGUGACGAAGCGUGAGUGACGGUAAUGGGUAAAGAAGCACCGGCUAACUACGUG
rnacentral:rRNA from 1 species